ACCGAUUAUUGUCCCAUGUCUGCCCUCUCUUUAUCAUUCUCACUCUCCUCUUGGAUGGGAUGGUGGGCCAAAUCAAAGGUUACAAUGGGCCAACUUUGGCACACGAACUCUAAUUUGGGCACCUCUGUUAUAUAUAAUCAAAGAAAAAUAAUUGUUUACUCUUUAGGGAAACAAAAAGCUGGCAUGACUCACCUUGACGUUUUGAUUCUUUGUAUUGAUUGGUGGGUUUUUUAAUACUGCCUGUAGAGCACCCAUGAGGAUAUUGUCUGAUGAGAGAAUCCACCUCUGCCUCAUCUGGACCCAGCUGGUUUUCUCCUCCUUCUUCUUCGUCCACAAACUUGUUCUCGUCGUACUCAUCCACGUCCACUUUCCUGAAACGAUCGGACACCGUGUUCUUUGACAUGAUGAUGGUAAAUGAUUCCCCCGUUUGAAGUUAAACUAAGCGCUUUUGCAUCAAUACCAUCUAACAAUCCAGUGGGCUGAACGAGACUGGCGGUUCCUG
rnacentral:lncRNA from 1 species